GAGUCUGAGGGACCCAGGACAGGAGAAGGCCUAUGGUGAUUUGCAUUCUUCCUGCCCUGGCUCCAUCCUCAG
ensembl:miRNA MIR6875 microRNA 6875